rnacentral:sRNA from 1 species
CAAUAGCCCUGAUUGAAAUGGAAAUCCCUUUUGGGUGUUGGCAGUUGUUAUAUGGAAUAAUUCCCAAAAGGAUUGGAAUGUAAAGCAGGACCGGAA